rnacentral:rRNA from 1 species
CACGUAGGGUGCGAGCGUUGUCCGGAAUUAUUGGGCGUAAAGAGCUCGUAGGCGGUGUGUCGCGUCGGCCGUGAAAACCUGCAGCUUAACUGUGGGCUUGCGGUCGAUACGGGCAUCACUGGAGUUCGGCAGGGGAGACUGGAAUUCCUGGUGUAGCGGUGAAAUGCGCAGAUAUCAGGAGGAACAGCCGGUGGCGAAGGCGGGUCUCUGGGCCGAUACUGACGCUGAGGAGCGAAAGCGUGGGGAGCGAACAGG